GACGUAGGGCGCGAGCGUUGUCCGGAUUUAUUGGGCGUAAAGAGCUCGUAGGCGGCUUGUCGCGUCGUCCGUGAAAACUUGGGGCUCAACCCCAAGCUUGCGGUCGAUACGGGCAGGCUAGAGUUCGGUAGGGGAGACUGGAAUUCCUGGUGUAGCGGUGAAAUGCGCAGAUAUCAGGAGGAACACCAAUGGCGAAGGCGGCACUCUGGGACGUGACUGACGCUGAGACGCGAAAGCGUGGGGAGCAAACAGG
rnacentral:rRNA from 1 species